GAUCCUGGCUCAGGAUGAACGCUAGCUACAGGCUUAACACGUGCAAGUCGAGGGGCAGCAUGGUCUUAGCUUGCUAAGACUGAUGGCGACCGGCGCACGGGUGAGUAACACGUAUCCAACCUGCCGUCUACUCUUGGACAGCCUUCUGAAAGGAAGAUUAAUACAAGAUGGCAUCAUGAGUCCGCAUGUUCACAUGAUUAAAGGUAUUCCGGUAGACGAUGGGAGUG
rnacentral:rRNA from 1 species